AGCAGCCGCCACGGUAAUACGAGGGGGGCAAGCGUUGUUCGGAAUUAUUGGGCGUAAAGGGUGCGUAGGCGGCUUGACAAGUCUUGUGUGAAAUCUAUGGGCUCAACCCAUAGUCUGCACGGGAAACUGUCGGGCUUGAGAAUGGGAGAGGUGAGUGGAAUUUCCGGUGUAGCGGUGAAAUGCGUAGAUAUCGGAAGGAACACCUGUGGCGAAAGCGGCUCACUGGACCAUUUCUGACGCUGAUGCACGAAAGCUAGGGGAGCAAACAGGAUUAGAUACCCGGGUAGUCCCUGUCUCUUAUAC
rnacentral:rRNA from 1 species